AAGUGUUGUUCUGAGCAAAAUGGUGAAAGAUUUCACAUUAAGCAAGGAGAUCAUUAGAGAUUCUUCAUUCUUCUUUUUUUCACUUUUAUACCAGAUCUGGAAGAUUUUCCUCUCACUAUUAGAUUUAGGAUAAUUUCAAUCAUCCCAUCUUUGCUGUCAUUUUCCAUUGAAGUCUGUGAUUAUGUUUUGGCAAUAUCUUGACAUUUCAUGGUGACAUUACUGGGUUUAGGGAGGUGAUGUGUGUUUAAGAGGAGCUUGGUUGUGUGCAUUGUAUGAUCUACAUAAUUCACAUGUAAGGGGUUCAUAAAUGAUGCAAGUUGUACUUCAUUUAUUUUGUACAAAAAUAUCUUCAUCUAUAUGUCAAAUAAAGAAUGAAAUUGU
rnacentral:misc_RNA from 1 species